rnacentral:rRNA from 1 species
GUAGGUGGCAAGCGUUAUCCGGAAUUAUUGGGCGUAAAGCGCGCGUAGGCGGUUUUUUAAGUCUGAUGUGAAAGCCCACGGCUCAACCUUGGAGGGUCAUUGGAAACUGGAAAACUUGAGUGCAGAAGAGGAAAGUGGAAUUCCAUGUGUAGCGGUGAAAUGCGCAGAGAUAUGGAGGAACACCAGUGGCGAAGGCGACUUUCUGGUCUGUAACUGACGCUGAUGUGCGAAAGCGUGGGGGGAUCAAACAGGAUUAGAUACCCUGGUAGUCCACGCCGUAAACGAUGAGUGCUAAGUGUUAGGGGGUUUCCGCCCCUUAGUGCUGCAGCUAACGCAUUAAGCACUCCGCCUGGGAGUACGACCGCAAGGUUG